rnacentral:rRNA from 1 species
AACGAACGCUGGCGGCAGGCCUAACACAUGCAAGUCGAGCGAGGACUUCGGUCCUAGCGGCGGACGGGUGAGUAACGCGUGGGAACGUGCCCUUUGCUUCGGAAUAGCCCUGGGAAACUGGGAGUAAUACCGGAUGAGCCCUUUGGGGGAAAGAUUUAUCGGCGAAGGAUCGGUCCGCGUUGGAUUAGGUAGUUGGUGGGGUAAUGGCCUACCAAGCCGACGAUCCAUAGCUGGUUUGAGAGGAUGAUCAGCCACACUGGGACUGAGACACGGCCCAGACUCCUACGGGAGGCAGCAGUGGGGAAUCUUAGACAAUGGGGGAAACCCUGAUCUAGCCAUGCCGCGUGAGCGAUGAAGGCCUUAGGGUUGUAAAGCUCUUUCAGCUGGGAAGAUAAUGACGGUACCAGCAGAAGAAGCCCCGGCUAACUCCGUG